CUCCAACCUGUUUGUGUUUGGCUGUAUUGUCAUAGGUGUUCUCAUUCCACAGAUGAUGUCCAUUUGUUUUGCUAGAAACCUCAACGAUCAAAUUGCUAUACAGAUAUCCAAAUGGCAGUACCAGCGGUGAUUAAUAUGUGACGUAACCUUAGCUACCGGAAACAUACAUUCAUCGGAAGAAUCAGACAAUGUGAUGAUUACCAAAAAGUCCCAAACUUCUCGCUUUUGAGAUUUUUAAACUCAUUAUUAUACAUUGUACAUGAUGUAUUACCCAUAUAUACAGUGUUUAUGCAUUAACCCCGACGAUCCAAUGCGGCCAUUUUAACGAAGAAGAAUAUUGCAUAGAGACUGUGAUGAUGCGAUUUUUGUUCUACAAUCAAACCAAUUCACGUGUUUGCUCAUGGUGUGCAAUAUUUUGUGACUAUAUAGGCUAGAAAUAAACAGAUUUUCGUGUGUAUACAGAUACUGUGGCAUACUAGUAAAGCAUAGUUACGAAACACACAAAAAAAAAGUAUUGCGUUCAUAGAAAUUUCAGAGGUUGAAUAUCAUUUCUUUGACUUUCAUUAAAUUUCUCUUGCAAGAUCACAGAAGCUAGAAUAUUUCAUUAUUUAUUUACGAAUGGCUUAAUUGUUUUUUUGUCCAUCAGCAUUUAAAUCACUGCUUACAGGAUUAUAGGUUAUAAUUUUAAAAGCCAUUGGAGGUGUUUUUUUUUUAUUUUGUGUGCGUAAUGUCAAAAUUUACACCAUUAUAUACGCAUUUACACAUAUCAGUAAAUUUUGAAAUGUAUUUUCUUUGCUUUUUAUUAAAAUAAAUGUUUUAAAUAC
rnacentral:misc_RNA from 1 species